rnacentral:rRNA from 1 species
CGCGUAGGCGGUUUUUUAAGUCAGAUGUGUAAUCCCCGAGCUUAACUUGGGAACUGCAUCUGAGACUGGAAGGCUAGAGUACUGGAGAGGGUGGUGGAAUUCCUCGUGUAGCGGUGAAAUGCGUAGAGAUGAGGAGGAACACCAGUGGCGAAGGCGGCCACCUGGACAGUAACUGACGCUGAGGCGCGAAAGUGUGGGUAGCAAACAGGAUUAGAUACCCUGGUAGUCCACGCUGUAAACGAUGAACACUUGGUGUGGAGGGAGUUGACCCCUUCCGUGCCGGAGCUAACGCGUUAAGUGUUCCGCCUGGGGAGUACGGUCGCAAGGCUGA